UGUUUCCUCAGCUGGUGACUUUAUAUGCUGAACUCAAUAAGGUUUCUCCUUCAUUCACUUAUUUGGAGUGUUGGAUUCUUUAUUACGUCAACUUAUCCCAAUGUAUUUCGUUUCCAUAAUUCAUCUAUUGUAUCACUUUGGGGUUUUUAAUUCAAUUCUAUAUUACGUUGACUCCGAGGAUUUUUUUAGGAUAGUAACUUAAGUCCAUUUGAAAAUUAGAACAAGAAUUUGUGAGAUUGUAAAAUUAGGACACUAAAUAAGUGUUGCAUCUGCAGGUCGGCCAUUAUCGAAUUUUCGGGAUUACCCGCACCAACCAAAGCACAUGACAACCUGCACGGAGGGGUUGAUAAUGUGGCAAGCACGUCAUUUUUAGGUCUCCAGAUAGGAUGUCAUGUGCUUGGUCCGUGUGGGAAAGUCCGAAAAUUCGAUAAAUGGCCGAGAAAUGUCCCGCGGAUGCCAACACUUAUUAUUAGUGUCCUAUUUCUACAAACCCGAAAUUUUUUUGUCCUAAUUUUCAAAUGAACCUAAGUUGCUGUUCUAAAAAAUCCUCUGACUCUAUUUAUGUUUCUUCUUAGGCUUUUUAUUUGAUUUUGGGGUUUUCGAAUUAUAAUGUAUCUUUUUACUUGUCAGUGGAGCAUGGAUCAAGAGUUUGAUGAGGCAAACGCGACGCUCUCUACUUCCUCUCUGCUCCAUCUAAAGACAGUUAAUAUUGAGUGGUAUCUAUGCGACGCCUUGAUACUUCCAUUCUUAAAAACUAUUUUGGAAAAUGCUCGCGUGCUGGAGGAGAUUGUGUUUCGAUGGAAGGGAAAUCCAGAGAUGUUGCCUGGGUUGCCAGAUUUGUGGGAAUCCUACCAAACAACAGAUCUCAUCUUUAUCUAAUAU
rnacentral:lncRNA from 1 species